rnacentral:rRNA from 1 species
UACGGAAGGCAGCAGUGGGGAAUAUUGCACAAUGGGCGCAAGCCUGAUGCAGCCAUGCCGCGUGUAUGAAGAAGGCCUUCGGGUUGUAAAGUACUUUCAGUCGUGAGGAAGGUGUUAAGGUUAAUAACCUUAGCAAUUGACGUUAGCGACAGAAGAAGCACCGGCUAACUCCGUGCCAGCAGCCGCGGUAAUACGGAGGGUGCGAGCGUUAAUCGGAAUUACUGGGCGUAAAGGGCACGCAGGCGGUUAAUUAAGUUGGAUGUGAAAUCCCCGGGCUUAACCUGGGAAUGGCAUUCAAGACUGGUUAGCUAGAGUCUUGUAGAGGGGGUGAAUUCCAUGUGUAGCGGUGAAAUGCGUAGAGAUGUGGAGGAAUACCGGUGGCGAAGGCGGCCCCUGGGACAAAGACUGACGCUCAUGUGCGAAAGCGUGGGGAGCAAACAGGAUUAGAUA